rnacentral:rRNA from 1 species
AAUAGAUACCCUGGUAGUCCAUGCCGUAAACGUUGGGCGCUAGAUGUGGGGACCAUUCCACGGUUUCCGUGUCGCAGCUAACGCAUUAAGCGCCCCGCCUGGGGAGUACGGCCGCAAGGCUAAAAACUCAAAGGAAUUGACGGGGGCCCGCACAAGCGGCGGAGCAUGCGGAUUAAUUCGAUGCAACGCGAAGAACCUUACCAAGGCUUGACAUAUACGAGAACGCUCUAGAAAUAGAGAACUCUUUGGACACUCGUAUACAGGUGGUGCAUGGUUGUCGUCAGCUCGUGUCGUGAGAUGUUGGGUUAAGUCCCGCAACGAGCGCAACCCUCGUUCUAUGUUGCCAGCGGUUCGGCCGGGAACUCAUAGGAGACUGCCGGGGUCAACUCGGAGGAAGGUGGGGAUGACGUCAAAUCAUCAUGCCCCUUAUGUCUUGGGCUUCACGCAUGCUACAAUGGCCGGUACAAAGGGCUGCAAUACCGUAAGGUGAGCGAAUCCCAAAAAGCCGGUCUCAGUUCGGAUUGAGGUCUGC